AAGCAGGGGAUCGUAAGACCUUGCGCUUUUGGAGUGGCCGAUGCCUGAUUAGCUAGUUGGUGGGGUAAGGGCCUACCAAGGCGACGAUCAGUAGUUGGUCUGAGAGGACGACCAGCCACACUGGGACUGAGACACGGCCCAGACUCCUACGGGAGGCAGCAGUGGGGAAUUUUGGACAAUGGGCGGAAGCCUGAUCCAGCAAUGCCGCGUGAGUGAAGAAGGCCUUCGGGUUGUAAAGCUCUUUCAGUCGAGAAGAAAAGGUUGCGACUAAUAAUCGCAACUUAUGACGGUAUCGACAGAAGAAGCACCGGCUAACUACGUGCCAGCAGCCGCGGUAAUACGUAGGGUGCGAGCGUUAAUCGGAAUUACUGGGCGUAAAGGGUGCGCAGGCGGCUCUGCAAGUCAGAUGUGAAAUCCCCGGGCUUAAC
rnacentral:rRNA from 1 species